GAGUUUGAUCAUGGCUCAGAUUGAACGCUGGCGGCAGGCCUAACACAUGCAAGUCGAGCGGAUGAAGAGAGCUUGCUCUCUGAUUCAGCGGCGGACGGGUGAGUAAUGCCUAGGAAUCUGCCUGGUAGUGGGGGACAACGUUUCGAAAGGAACGCUAAUACCGCAUACGUCCUACGGGAGAAAGCAGGGGACCUUCGGGCCUUGCGCUAUCAGAUGAGCCUAGGUCGGAUUAGCUAGUAGGUGAGGUAAAGGCUCACCUAGGCGACGAUCCGUAACUGGUCUGAGAGGAUGAUCAGUCACACUGGAACUGAGACACGGUCCAGACUCCUACGGGAGGCAGCAGUGGGGAAUAUUGGACAAUGGGCGAAAGCCUGAUCCAGCCAUGCCGCGUGUGUGAAGAAGGUCUUCGGAUUGUAAAGCACUUUAAGUUGGGAGGAAGGGCAGUAAGUUAAUACCUUGCUGUUUUGACGUUACCAACAGAAUAAGCACCGGCUAACUUCGUGCCA
rnacentral:rRNA from 2 species